AGGUGAGAAAUGGAGCCGGAGUUUCUCCGCUCGGUAGGGGUUAAGCUGGGACCCACACCCCCCCCCAAACACAUGCCCACGUGCAAGUCCCUCCCACCCGCCCUCCCAGGGGCGAAGAGACCCUGUCCCGGUGGAAGUGGGGACACCCAGUCGGGUACAGAAAGCAGAGGCCAUGGCGCAGAGAGGAGUCGCGGCUUUCCGGGGCUCAGCCCUAGGGCUACGGACCCAGGCUGCGGAGAUGCUCGCGCCACCCACCCGAGCCAGGCAACCGAUGCUUCCAGGCGAGCUCCGCGGGGCCGAGGUGCCGGGAGAACCGGCCCCGGGCGCCCGCGCGCUGCCCGACCUGGGUAACCGGCAAAGUGGAGCCCCGGGGUCGAAGUCCUAAAGUUACUAAUCCCGCGCAGGGGGAGAGAGCAUGCCUCGGGCCGCCCGGGGCGGUCAUUUGAGCGUGUUUACUUAAAGACUUUGCAAGCAGAGCGCGCGCGAAAUCGUCGGAUUUCCAGCAAGGCAGCAAAUAUUUGCAGGCAGGAGAAAGAAGCGGAGCCGAGCCGCGCCGCCGAGUCCCUCCCCCCUGAGCCCCGGCGCCGGCCUGGGCGGACCCGGCCGCGCAGUUAAAGACAGAAAAGAAACCGGGAAUCUGCGAGGCUGGGGGGCGGGGAGCGACACCAAAGGCCAGAAACUGCAGCACGGCCGAGGCCCUGACGAGCCGGGCCUGGGGGAGGAGAAGUCCCUUCCCAUUCCAGCUCGAUCAAUCUUGCUGGGCUGCGAUCGGUCAGUAAAAACAGUGUGAAGCG